rnacentral:miRNA from 5 species
ACAAAGUGCUUCCCUUUAGAGUGU